UACGGAGGUGGCAAGCGUUGUUCGGAUUUAUUGGGUGUAAAGGGCAUGUAGGUGUCCCAUCAAGUUUCUGGUGAAAUCCUUAGGCUCAACCUGAGAACUGCCAGAAAAACUGCUGGGAUUGAGUAUGGGAGAGGAGAGUGGAAUUCCCGGUGUAAGGGUGAAAUCUGUAGAUAUCGGGAGGAACACCAGUAGCGAAGGCGACUCUCUGGCCCAAAACUGACACUGAAAUGCGAAAGCUAGGGGAGCAAACAGGAUUAGAUACCCCCGUAGUCC
rnacentral:rRNA from 1 species